AGUGAACGCUGGCGGUAGGCCUAACGCAUGCAAGUCGAACGGCAGCACAGUAAGGGCUUGCUCUUACGGGUGGCGAGUGGCGGACGGGUGAGGAAUACAUCGGAAUCUACUUUUUCGUGGGGGAUAACGUAGGGAAACUUACGCUAAUACCGCAUACGACCUACGGGUGAAAGCAGGGGAUCUUCGGACCUUGCGCGAUUGAAUGAGCCGAUGUCGGAUUAGCUAGUUGGCGGGGUAAAGGCCCACCAAGGCGACGAUCCGUAGCUGGUCUGAGAGGAUGAUCAGCCACACUGGAACUGAGACACGGUCCAGACUCCUACGGGAGGCAGCAGUGGGGAAUAUUGGACAAUGGGCGCAAGCCUGAUCCAGCCAUACCGCGUGGGUGAAGAAGGCCUUCGGGUUGUAAAGCCCUUUUGUUGGGAAAGAAAAGCAGCAGGUUAAUACCCCGCUGUUCUGACGGGACCCAAAGAAUAAACACCGGCUAACUUCGU
rnacentral:rRNA from 1 species